GCGAAUAUUUCAUCAUUCAACUUAUAGGGUAUUACUUGGCCAUCAGGAGAGGGAGAUUUUGAGCAGUUUGCAUGUAAAUGAGACUCUGUAUAAGCAGCGUGUUUGGGUCCGUGGCACUCGACCUGAGGAAGAAGAAAUUUUCCAAUUUACCAUGGUUCAGCGUGUUGGCGGGUCUUGGGAUGGCUACUGGCUGACAGAAUCUGUGCUUCACGAUGGCGAUACUUUCUCUGGUGGUGUGGCUUACUGAACUAGUAUCCACAGUAGCUUGGAAAUCAAUGUGGUUUCAUUAUAACUUCACUGCUGUGAGUACGAGUAAUAUACAGUAUAAUUAUAGUUCAGUUGCUUACUAUCUUCGUU
rnacentral:misc_RNA from 1 species